GUGAGCUGUCUAGCUUGGAUCCACAACUUUUGGAGUCACUGCCUUCAUAUCUAUUUCUGUCCUUUAUUUUAGAAAAUUAUAUUUUGAGAAUGUUGUAUUUCUCCAUCUUUAGUCGCUCAUGACUUGUAUUACUAGUCCUUGUGGGUUGUAUUUGGAGUAUUCCACGCUUAUGUAUUAUCAGAUUUAGACUUAUGAUCUUAUCCAUGUUUAGACUUGUUUAUGUCUCUAUGGUAUCCGGAUUUGUUCCAAGGGUCUAUCGGAAGCAACAUAUCUAUUCCAUCGGGGUAAGGGUAAGGUCUGCGUACUCACUGCCCUCCCUAGACUCCACUAGUGAGAUUUUACUAAGUUGUUGUUGUUGUUGGUAUACGGAUUUGUUGGAUAUGCUUUGUUGGUUCGCCUAAGAGUUUGGGUUAGGUGUCAUAACGAUCUUGGUGGAACUUUGGAUCGUGAAAAAUAUUCCUAUUUUAAACUAUUUUUAGUCCUUCAUAUUCAACUAUAAGGAG
rnacentral:lncRNA from 1 species